AACGUGUUCCAACACCUUGGCAUCUUGCAGAGAAAGCCAAGGUCUCUCUCACUGUCAUUUCACCUAAGUGGAGAUCAUGUUGACUGAUGUAAGCAGACGUUCUCUGGGGGACAAACUCAUCCAUCCCAUGGCCAUUUGAGAGGCCACAAAUAGAUAAGGUGAUAAAAUUACCUUGAGGCUGGUAUCAAGCUUUCCUGCUAAAGCUCGGAGCAUAGUAGUUUUCCCAGAACUUGGAGGCCCUAAGAGCAAAGUCAUUCUGAAAUGCAGAAACUUAGUGCAUGCAAGCCAAAACGGAAAGCUGAUUCACUGCCAAUAUUGUCAUAGGUCUCUUUCUGCUUGGAAGUAUAUAAAGGGAGUUCAGCAACCCCUGUGGAGAGACAACAGUAUAUCAGCAAAGAAGUUGAUGACCGUAGGAACACCGCUAUUUCCCACUAAAGCUUCCGCAUGAACCUCUAAGUUCUCGAAGCGGACCUCAAUUG